rnacentral:lncRNA from 1 species
AUGGUGAAUGAAUGGUGGGCGGAGAUGGUGGUUGUGGGGAGUUGGUGCCUACGAGACGAUUAUGACCUGGCCUUUCUCUGCAGCUCCUCUUGGGAAGGCAUUUUCUUCUUUCUGCAAACCGUGCUGCUGUUUGUUUGGAGAAGGAGAGCUGUGGGCCCCACACAUUGAUUUUAAUUUUCAACACUUAGCACCUGACUUAGUGAUCUAAGAUCACUGACUCAGAAAACAGGAAAGGUCAGUCUGCCUAACACCUCACCCAGCGUCCUGGGAUUAGCAUCCAAAACAAACAGAUCAGAGAUGGGAUGCAGACUCCCAAGAGAUGAUUCCCACAUGUGAGAAAGCCCAGGAGAAGCGGAUGGCGGAUGGCGUUUCUCAAGCUCGCUGACGUCACUCAAGUUCAUGAUCCAAGGCUUCACCCUACUGGGGUUGGGGGGUUGGGUUCUACUGGAAGAGUGAAGCUGGUGGAUUAAGAAAAGUGGUGGUAGGGAGAGGGAGGGAAAGGAGUUCUUUCUGCUAGUCAAAGGAGAAACCAAAUAAAAUGAAUGAAGUCCAAGAAAAAUACAACUCUAUUGUUUUGGGGGCAUAAGAGGCUGGCUUGGAGGCUUCAUUGAGUAAUUCGAGUCACACCCUUUCUCUGUGGGCCUGAAGGAAUGUUGGCUGUUUCUCUGCAGCCCAGGUGGGAGGUGGGUAGACAGGUCUAUGGAGAUGAGAAUUUCUUGGAGCUGUUAACUCUCUGAACAUCCCCACGGCCUUGCAAGCUGGGAGGCUGGGACACAAAGAAGCAGGAAUGCAGUGCUGAAUCAAGGCCAAGGAGCAGCGGCCAUGGGAGGGGACGGCGGGAAGAGAAAAAGGCGGAAGAAACCUAGAAAACAGGGAAGGAAGUGACCCUGUUCUUUUUCUCCUCUUCUGAACAGGGGCUUCUCUGUCCUCAAGAGCCCCUUGGCUCCCUUUCAUUAAGCCAUAGGGCGGAUACCCAGGGAGAGGUGGCGUGUCUGGGUCGGGGUUGUGAUGGGAAGCAGGAAGCACCAGUCAUUUCACAAGAAGGCUUGACAUUGGAGAGGGAGCCAGCAAAAACUGGCAGACCCCCAAGGUGGGGUAGGAAAGUCUGGCCUAGCGUGAAGA